GUACUCGUUUGUCAAUCUGAGUACUAGGCUUUAAUAUCUAAUUAGUGUGUAUUUUUCACGAACAACAGCUCAUUUUGUUCUUGGGGUCGAAAUCCCCAAAGGCCUAGCUCGCAACAACAAAUAAUCGAUAGCUAUCGACCUUCACACCAUGUACCAAUAGUUCCUAACACUAGAAUCGAUAGAAAUCAACGUCUCACAUACUAAUUUUACAUGGACCAUCUCUACAGGCAUCAAAAGGUAAACAAACAACAAACAGGUAAAUAUUGGACGAGAUUAACGAAAAGUUACGUAUGGAUGGACUAGCCACCGCGCACUCAAACAUCCUAUGGCACCACCCAUUGUCAAAAACCUAGGCCACGGCAAGUCCGGAUAACGACCGGUUUAUCUCCCCUAGGGCAAAACUGCUACCCGGGCUUGGACCUCGGCCCCUUCAAGCCCGAUUUAAAAUCAGGAAAUAUGGCCUUAGAGAAGUGUAAACUUUGCGCUUGAAGCGGCUUAAUGGACACAUAAUAUUUCCCCUAAAUACCCUGCUGGAGCUCUAAGAGGACAAUAAGGGACGAAGAUUUUAACAAGAUAUCCCCUUGGCUGCUGGUCGAAAAAUUCAACAGAAAUUUGGGCCGAAAAUAACUUGGUCCCGUUUCUAAGUCGAUGUGAAAAUGGCGAAAGGUGGACCGGAGGACCAAGCCUUGCCUGAGCAACUGCGGACCGCGAAAAUAGGGAUGCCGCGUGUUGAAGAGCCCUGUGGUGAUUAGGACAAACAUAGGGAAGUUUAAUGGUCUUGGUAGCAGCUAGUGGAUGCUACGGCUCGUGGCAGGAAUCACAAAAGAAUUAAUAAGAAACUGUUAAGUGGCAUUGAUUUGUUAAAGAAUUUCCGUACACGACACUCGUAGAGUAAAGGGUACAUAGUAUUAGCUGAAAAGUAUAAGAACUGGUAGAAAAAACAUUUCUGACCCGUUGGUAAACAUAUAUAUUCUUUAUCAGGAUCAAAAGCCGAGUUGAUCUAGCGCUCCUUCUUAUUUUAUUUGUGUUAUUUUCAUUUUAACUUUUAAACAGUAACAGAUAUUUUCGGUGCAUGGUUAAAACUUUGUUUAGAUUCAAACCAAAGAAUUCGUCGAUACCAUAAAAUGCGUUCACUCAAACAAAUUUGUAUCAAAAAUCGCUUUAAAUACCCACAGAGUUCGCACGUACAUAUAUGUAGAAAAUGUAGGGUGAAUUUUCUUUAAUUCCUGUUGUUUUGAAUAUAAAAUAAGUUAGUUUAAGUUUGGUAAACAAUUUUAUAUAUUAGUUAGUUUAAAUGAACAAUUAUUUUCCAAAAAAUCACCAUCUGUUUAUGAUUAGCAACAAAAAAUUAUUAAACUGGCUCCCUUAUCAAGGGAGUAAUCUACAGCAACUUAAAAAAAAAAGUGGUUAAAUUAUUUA